rnacentral:lncRNA from 1 species
GUGUGUGUGUGUGUGUGUGUGUGUGUGUGUGUUUUGUUUUAGCUAUAGGCUACCUAUUACCCUAUGAGCUCUAAAGCAAAACUACUUGCACUGUUCAUAUAGUUCAAAUGGGCAUACCAAACAUACGCACAUAUAUUUCUACAUACGCACAUAAAUCCCUAUAAUCAUACAAUUUUUUAUUCUUACUCGGUUUACAGUAGAUACAGUUAUUUACUUAACGAGCAAUGCGUACAGGAUCUUAUCCAGUUGGAAAAUUGAUACAUACGCCUCAUGCAUACUCGAGAUCAUGGUUGCAUCUUCUAUAUUUACGAGUUCACGGAUGCAACCAUCGAGUUCGAAUUUAUCGUCUUUGCCACUGUUACUUUUUGAGGUCCCAACGCCGACGACCUCCGAUACAAUCCAUCUUUCCCUCCUCCAAAAAUCAUGCAAAUGAACAUGUCAAAAUGGAAACAGACCAGCUAGGAUCUACCUUAUUAGCUUCUUCUUCAUAAACUUCCAAAGUGCUAACAUAUAAGCCCAUGGAAAGACAUCACACUAUAAAUGGAAAUACAAUUAUAUAUCUACAGAAAUCCAAAAAGAAUCUCAGAGAGGAAGAUAGAAAGCAAUUAAAUCUUAUAGAGGAUACAUGAGCGGAUGAUCUGCUCGGGUUUAAAGCCUCUAGACGCCGUUCCAAUUCUUCUAGGCUAGCAUGAACCGCGUUCGUAGCCCAUAGCUUCAUUGGAUGGAUCUUGGGGUGCUCACUUGUCUCCGAAUUCAAAGCGGAACUUCGUAUGCCAAAAAAGAAAAAAAAA